rnacentral:rRNA from 1 species
AGUGAACGCUGGCGGUAGGCCUAACACAUGCAAGUCGAACGGCAGCACAGUAAGAGCUUGCUCUUACGGGUGGCGAGUGGCGGACGGGUGAGGAAUACAUCGGAAUCUACUUUUUCGUGGGGGAUAACGUAGGGAAACUUACGCUAAUACCGCAUACGACCUACGGGUGAAAGCAGGGGAUCUUCUGACCUUGCGCGAGUGAAUGAGCCGAUGUCGGAUUAGCUAGUUGGCGGGGUAAAGGCCCACCAAGGCGACGAUCCGUAGCUGGUCUGAGAGGAUGAUCAGCCACACUGGAACUGAGACACGUUCCAGACUCCUACGGUAGGCAGCAGUGGGGAAUAUUGGACAAUGGGGGCAAGCCUGAUCCAGCCAUACCGCGUAGGUGAAGAAGGCCUUCGGGUUGUAAAGCCCUUUUGUUGGGAAAGAAAAGCAGCAGGUUAAUACCCCGCUGUUCUGACGGUACCCAAAGAAUAAGCACCGGCUAACUUCGUG